UACGAAGGGGGCUAGCGUUGUUCGGAAUUACUGGGCGUAAAGCGUAUGCAGGCGGAUCGUUAAGUCGGGGGUGAAAUCCCGAGGCUCAACCUCGGAACUGCCUUCGAUACUGGCGACCUUCGAGUCCGGGAGAGGUGAGUGGAACUCCGAGUGUAGAGGUGAAAUGCGUAGAUAUUCGGAAGAACACCAGUGGCGAAGGCGACACACUGGGCCAUUACUGACGCUGAGGCGCGAAAGCGUGGGGAGCAAACAGG
rnacentral:rRNA from 1 species